rnacentral:rRNA from 1 species
GUCAACGGCCAUACCGUGCUGGUCACACCGGUUCCCGUACGAUCACCGAAGUUAGGCAGCAUUGGGCGUGGUGUGUACUUGGAUGGGUGACCGUUUGGGAACGCCACGUGCCGUUGGCUUAA